AUGUCAAGACGAAGAGGUGGCCAGAGGAGGAAGGCCAUGGAGGAGGCGAAGGGGUCGCGAGGAGGAGGCAAGAUGGCGUGGCGGCGGCCUGGUUUUGCGGUGGCUGGCGGCGGAUGCAAGGCGACGAGGAUGAGGCAAAGGGGACGGGAUAAGGGCACGACUGCUGACUGGUGCGAGGGCACAGUGGAGAGCUCGGCUUGGAGGCAGAGCACGGAGCAGCAACAGAUCGGGGCAGAUGGGAGCAGGUCCAAGCGGCGCUUGGUGAGGUGCAGGCGAGGACGAGGUGGAUCAGGAGAGAUGAGAGGUGGCGACGCAGGGGAUCGGGCGCAGGGAGCUCCUCUCCCUGGCUCGAUGUGUGCGAGUGGCGGCGGUCAGGAGGGAGAUGGAGAUCGAGAGGAGAGCGAGGGAUCGGGCUAG
rnacentral:rRNA from 1 species